rnacentral:rRNA from 1 species
UACGAAGGGGGCUAGCGUUGCUCGGAAUUACUGGGCGUAAAGCGCACGUAGGCGGAUUGUUAAGUCGGGGGUGAAAUCCUGGAGCUCAACUCCAGAACUGCCUUCGAUACUGAUCGACUCGAAGGCAGGAGAGGGUAGUGGAAUUCCCGGUGUAGUGGUGAAAUGCGUAGAUAUCGGGAGGAACACCAGUGGCGAAGGCGACUACCUGGCCUGUUCUUGACGCUGAGGCGCGAAAGCUAGGGGAGCAAACGGG